GAUGUAGCUCAGUGGUAGAGCACCUGCCUAGCAUGCAGGAGGCUCUGGGUUCAAUUCCCAGACACACACAUAUACA